rnacentral:misc_RNA from 1 species
GAUGAAGAACGCAGCGAAAUGCGAUAAGUAGUGUGAAUUGCAGAAUUCAGUGAAUCAUCGAAUCUUUGAACGCACAUUGCGCCCGCCAGUAUUCUGGCGGGCAUGCCUGUUCGAGCGUCAUUACAACCCUCAGGCCCCCGGGCCUGGCGUUGGGGAUCGGCGGAAGCCCCCUGUGGGCACACGCCGUCCCUCAAAUACAGUGGCGGUCCCGCCGCAGCUUCCAUUGCGUAGUAGCUAACACCUCGCAACUGGAGAGCGGCGCGGCCAUGCCGUAAAACACCCAACUUCUGAAUGUUGACCUCGAAUCAGGUAGGAAUACCCGCUGAACUUAAGCAUAUCAAUAAGCGGAGGA